GGGCCUGUAGCUCAGUUGGUUAGAGCCGUCGACUCAUAAUCGAUUGGUCGCUGGUUCAAAUCCAGCCAGGCCCACCA
rnacentral:tRNA from 1 species